UACGUAGGGGGCAAGCGUUGUUCGGAAUUAUUGGGCGUAAAGGGCUCGUAGGCGGUUUGUCGCGUCGGGAGUGAAAACACGGGGCUUAACCCCGUGCCUGCUUCCGAUACGGGCAGACUAGAGGUAUGCAGGGGAGAACGGAAUUCCUGGUGUAGCGGUGAAAUGCGCAGAUAUCAGGAGGAACACCAGCGGCGAAGGCGGCGCUCUGGGCCGGAACUGACGCUGAGGAGCGAAAGCGUGGGUAGCAAACAGG
rnacentral:rRNA from 1 species